UAACCUGCCCAUUGGGUUCUAAAAGGCCGCGGUAUUAUGACCGUGCAAAGGUAGCAUAAUCAUUAGUCUUUUAAUUGAAGGCUAGAAUGAAUGGUUGGACAAGAAAUAAUCUGUCUUAAGUUAAUAUAUUGAAUUUAACUUUUAAGUGAAAAGGCUUAAAUUUUCUAGAGUGACGAUAAGACCCUAUAAAACUUUAUAUUUUAAAAUAAUAAUUAGUUUUAUUUAAGAAUUUUAUUUAAAAAUAUUUUAUUGGGGUGAUAAAGAUAUAAAUUUAAAUAACUGUCUUCUUUUUUUACAAUAAUAUUUGAAUUAAUGAUCCUAAGAAAGGAGUAAAAGAUCAAGUUACUUUAGGGAUAACAGCGUAAUUUUUUUUAAGAGUUCAUAUCGACAAGAAAGUUUGCGACCUCGAUGUUGAAUUAAAAAAUCUUUAUAGAGCA
rnacentral:rRNA from 1 species